GAUGAAGAACGCAGCGAAAUGCGAUAAGUAAUGUGAAUUGCAGAAUUCCGUGAAUCAUCGAAUCUUUGAACGCACAUUGCGCCCCCUGGUAUUCCGGGGGGCAUGCCUGUCCGAGCGUCAUUGCAACCCUCAAGCGCGGCUUGUGUGUUGGGCUUCGUCCCCCCGUGGACGUGCCCGAAAGGCAGUGGCGGCGUCCCGAAUGGUGCCCGAGCGUAUGGGAACUCUCUUCCGCUCGAACCGGCCCAUACGGCGCUGGUCGAACCCCAAUUUUUUUUUACCGGUUGACCUCGGAUCAGGUAGGGAUACCCGCUGAACUUAAGCAUAUCAAUAAGCGGAGGA
rnacentral:misc_RNA from 1 species